GUAGCCAGCCAGCAGCACCAACCAACCGGAGGAGACUCCAUCCAACUCGAGAGCACGAGGGGCGAGGGACGGAGGGAGAGGGCGGCGCCGGCAUGGAGGACUUCUACAGUUCUACGUCACCAUCCCCUACGGCCUGCUGGUCCUCGGCGGCGGCGUGUCGGCUACCUCAAGCGCGGGAGCGCAGCCUCGCUGGCCGCGGGGGGCGGAUUCGGAGCGGCGCUCCUCCUCGCCGGCGCCCUCGGCGCCUGGGCCUUCGCGCGCGGCGGGGAUGGCGCCGGCGCUGUCUUCGCCACCGUCCUCAGAUCGGAUCCUGUGGAGAUCCGAGAAGGGUAGGAAGUUGAAGCCUGGUGGACCGUCGCCGAGUCGGUGGUGUUGAUUAUUGAGGCAUUGUAGAGAAAUUUGUAUUUUUGACACUCUUGACACGUCGUUUCACAAAUUAGCCACAUAAAAUAAUUAUUAUAUAUCUAUUAUCAAAUGUACUUUAAAUUCAUACUUGUCGAUUUAUCUAUUUGCGAAAAAUAUUUAUACAAAA